CAAGGUGAAACCUAAUUGGCCUGGAGAAGAGCUUGCGUCUGAUUAGCUAGUUGGUGGGGUAAAGGCCUACCAAGGCGACGAUCAGUAGCUGGUCUGAGAGGAUGAGCAGCCACACUGGGACUGAGACACGGCCCAGACUCCUACGGGAGGCAGCAGUGGGGAAUUUUCCGCAAUGGGCGAAAGCCUGACGGAGCAACGCCGCGUGAGGGAGGAAGGUCUUUGGAUUGUAAACCUCUUUUCUCAAGGAAGAAGUUCUGACGGUACUUGAGGAAUCAGCCUCGGCUAACUCCGUGCCAGCAGCCGCGGUAAUACGGGGGAGGCAAGCGUUAUCCGGAAUUAUUGGGCGUAAAGCGUCCGCAGGUGGUCAGCCAAGUCUGCU
rnacentral:rRNA from 1 species